rnacentral:rRNA from 1 species
CGUGAGCGGCGGACGGGUGAGUAACGCGUGGGUAACCGUACCUCAUACAGGGGGAUAACAGUUGGAAACGGCUGCUAAUACCGCAUAAGCGCACAGUACCGCAUGGUACCGUGUGAAAAACUCCGGUGGUAUGAGAUGGACCCGCGUCUGAUUAGCUAGUUGGUGGGGUAACGGCCUACCAAGGCGACGAUCAGUAGCCGACCUGAGAGGGUGACCGGCCACAUUGGGACUGAGACACGGCCCAA